rnacentral:tRNA from 1 species
AAGAUGCUAGUAAAACUAGCCAUUACAUUGCUUUGUCAAGGCAAAAUUGCAGGUUAAACCCCUGCGUAUCUUA